CAAAAACCUCUACCAGCGCCAAAUCUUCCCUGUUCAUCAAAAGUUUCCCUCUACAAUUUUUGAGUAUCCCCAGAUCUUCUCUCUGCAACACUCGAGAUUUGUACCCAUAUGGCAAUAUACCAAAUUCACUUUCCCUCUAAUCCUAUUCACUCUAUCAAACCUAAUAUUCAUAUUUGUGGGCAGAAAAGAAAAAACUUGUGUUCCUCUCUGAUCAUUCGAACACCCAUUAUCCAUCCAUCACUGAUGUCGUCAUCUUUUUCAUAGUCCUUCUUCCGCUGUUCUUAAGUGGUUCUGCUAUUGCCAAGCCUCCGGGUUACCUCCGCUUUGAGUACGCAAAGUUCUCGCAAGAGAUGACUUGAUUCUUGAGAAUUGGUGAACACGCUUAGAAAGAUGAAAUAGUUUGUGAGAUCAAUUUUGAACUUGCGUCUUGGUUCCUUUUUUGGAAUUUGAUUGAGGUGUAAAAUCAGAUUGCAGAUACAUACUCAGGAAGACGCUUUCAUUUUAUGUACUGUGCAUCUCCUGCGAGACGGCCCAAAUAGUAUGUUGAAAGAGGUCGGUGGCAUUGAGAGACGCUUGAUUUAGAUUACGAGAAUCUUUCCAUAAAAUUUUCUGGAGCAAACUUUGAUUGGAUUGGAAAGUGUCCUACUCAAGCUGGAAAAGUGGAAUGUGAAUAUUAUGUAAUGAAGUUCAUGAAAGCAAUCAUUGAAGAUCCAACCAUAUUAACUAGAAGCAAGUUCAACAACCAAAGUUACAAUCAAGAAGAGAUAGAUGAUGUUCGAGUCGAGUGGGCUGACCUUGUUGAAACAUUACUCCAAGAUGAUGUAGAAUAGUUUGGUUAGUAUAUUUUGCAAAGUAUAUAUUAAGCUGAGUUUUUGUGCAUGCCCAUGUAAAGUUUUAGAUCAACUAGGUUUUUGAAAGCACUAGAAGUACAUGUAAUAUGAUCUCACC